GACGAACGCUGGCGGCGUGCUUAACACAUGCAAGUCGAACGGAAAGGCCCCUUUGGGGGUACUCGAGUGGCGAACGGGUGAGUAACACGUGAGUAACCUGCCCUUGACUUCGGGAUAACUUCAGGAAACUGGGGCUAAUACCGGAUAGGAAUCCUUGCUGCAUGGUGGGGGUUGGAAAGCUUCGGCGGUUUUGGAUGGACUCGCGGCUUAUCAGCUUGUUGGUUGGGUAGUGGCUUACCAAGGCUUUGACGGGUAGCCGGCCUGAGAGGGCGACCGGCCACAUUGGGACUGGGAUACGGCCCAGACUCCUACGGGAGGCAGCAGUGGGGAAUAUUGCACAAUGGGCGGAAGCCUGAUGCAGCAACGCCGCGUGCGGGAUGACGGCCUUCGGGUUGGAAACCGCUUUCAGCAGGGGCGAAGCUUGUGGUGACGGUACCUGCAGAAGAAGCACCGGCUAACUACGUG
rnacentral:rRNA from 1 species